rnacentral:lncRNA from 1 species
GUUGCCUUGUUCUUUGGUGGAAGUGAUUUCAGUUGAACCUUCAGCCAUGAAGCUCCUUCACCUUGUCUUUGCAUUUCUCUGUCUGAUGAUGCUGGUUGUUCCAGGUUUUUCUAGAAUAGGUAACAGCAGGCAAUGCAGCGCCUCCGGGGGAAGAUGUAUCAGCCGCAGAUGUCCAAGUGGUUACACACAGAUUGGAAGAUGUGGAAGGAGACGUCCUUGCUGCAGGAGAUAAAGGAGGAAAAUGUGACCACGCCGCAUCACUGACAUCCUCAGCUGUGAAAUGCCGACGGAUUAUAAAUCUGGAAAUCUUACGGGGCAGAGAGAUGUGAUUAACUGGCGCCUGAAUAAAAGGAAGUUGCAG